AUACGGAGGGCGCAAGCGUUGUUCGGAAUCAUUGGGCGUAAAGCGCGUGUAGGCGGCUUGGCAAGUCGGGUGUGAAAGCCCGGGGCCCAACCCCGGAACUGCAUUCGAAACUUCCUAGCUAGAGUCUCGGAGAGGAGAGCGGAAUUCCCGGUGUAGAGGUGAAAUUCGUAGAUAUCGGGAGGAACACCAGCGGCGAAGGCGGCUCUCUGGACGAUGACUGACGCUGAGGUGCGAAAGCGUGGGGAGCAAACAGGAUUAGAUACCCCGGUAGUCC
rnacentral:rRNA from 1 species